rnacentral:lncRNA from 1 species
GUCAGUGUCAUCCAAAGCAUUUGCACAACAUCUUCGUGAUUUGCAUAUUGAGAUCAAUAAACAACUUGAAGCUAGUAAUGCAAAAUAUAAACUCUAAGCUGGUUUGCAUAAACGACAUAUUGAGUUUAACGUUGGGGAUUACGUUAUGGUCCGCAUUAGGCCAGAGCGGCGUCUACAUGGACCCGCCUCCAAAUUGCAAGCUCGUAGUGCUGGUCCUUUUAAAAUUUUAAAGCAAAUUGGUCCAAAUGCCUAUGUUGUUGACAUUCCACCACAUCUUGGUUACCAUUCUACUUUCAAUGUUGAGGACCUAAUAGCUUAUAAAGGUCAUUUCAUUCCCUCAGAUGAUCUUUUGUUACCUCCUUUGUGGACCUUGAUCCUGACUAUUUGGCCACUUCUAACCCACUACCACCUCUCACAACAGACACAGAUAAAAUUGAUGCUAUUUUAGAUGAAGAAACUGUGUUUACUAAUGAUGGAGAGGUUCAGCGCUUCCUCAUUCGUUGGGUUGGUCGACCAAAUUCUGAUUGUACAUGGAUCUCCAGAGCGACACUACAGCAAUUGGAUCCAGAUUUAUUGGAGUUUUAUCGAAGUCAGCAGGAUCUUCCUUGGCCUAGAAAGCCUCCCAUUCACCCAAGGGGAGUUGGUGAGGACAACAGGUUCAGACCUCCACCGACACAUUUUUACAGACGUCGGAAGAAGCUUACCCAACCAUUCAGUUUAUGGUUGGGAGAUUGAUGACAGUCUAUAGUGAUAUAUCCACUCGAUAGGGUCGAGUUUUCUCCCACCCCGGGAGAGUUGAUGAGGACAUCAGACAUGACAUCGGACGUUUACUUAUUUUAUUUAUGCUUUAUUUAUCUUUUGGACUAUUAUUUAAAAUUUGGACUUGUAUGGGCUCGGGCCCAAUCUCGUUAGGGUUGCUUUACUAUUUAAACCUAUUUUGCAUUGUGAUUUUCAGUUGAUGAUGAAUGAAUAAUUAUUUUGGUGGCUUAUGACGCAUCCCUCCCCUUAUUCUGCCAUCUUCUGUUAAAUUCUUCUUCUCCCCCCCUCCCCUUAAUUCCCCAUUCUUCUCUUUAAUUUCUUCUCCCUAUAGAUCUGUUCUAUUUCUCAAUUAAUUGUCCC